ACAGAGAACAAUAUUUUAAUUUUGAUGAAGUCCUAUUUAUCAAUUCUUAUUUUCUGGAUCAAGCUUUUUGGUGUCAAGAUGCAUAUCUAAGUGUUCCAGCACUACUUGAAAAGUCUACUCUUUUGUGAUUUUGUCAAAAAUCAGUUGGGCCUAUUUACGUUUUGCCACAAUGUGACCAGACCAUGAUUGCUUGGGAGAAGAUCCUGGAAUGAAUACCACCCACUAAAUGGCUGGUACUUACUAGAAAGGCCUGGUCUGGACCCCCAGGCCAGGAAAUCAUCAGAAUGUUGAAGUAAGAGGUACUUAAAAGUUUCCAGUUAAGGAAAAGAAAGUAAAGAAGGCAGAGAGAGUGGUAGGUGAGGGAGGGAGACAGGGCUGAACCAUAGCUCGUUACUCAGAAAGUGACAUCACUGUUACUUCAACAGUUUCUCUAAAUUUCCCUUACAUUAACUUCCUCUCAGGAAGUGUACGGAAGGCCGAAUGCCUAUUAGCACUGAUUUGUGGGAUCCCUCUUACUAGGUCAACACUCAACUCUUCCAUAGGAUGCCAGGCGAGCAUGAAAGCUAAGGCCUCCACUGUCACUUUUUGGGCACUGAUAACACAAAAUUGCUCAAAGAACCAAGAAAACCUCUAAAGAGAAAUCUAAACAAAACUAAAGGAUUGCUCAUAUAGGAUCAGUUGAAUAAAUUAAGGUACAUUCAUACAAGGGAAUCUUAUACUACUUAUUAAUUAUAUCAAUAAGGUCAUUUCUCAGUGUGCAUUUGGAAAAAUCACUACAAUGAAACAAAAAAGCCCAGUGCAAGACAAUAUGUGUGGCCCUCUGAAGGUAGGGAAGGAGCUCAAAUGUCAUUUUUAUUUAACCUUCAUAACCACAUAUAAUUCUAUUAAUUGGUUAAGAAACCAAAGUUUAUAAAUUGUAGAGUCCAUGGUCUAAAGGAUUGCAAUUUGACUGGAGUCUUCUGAAGCAUUUGAUUGUUAAUUGCAUCCUGUCCCCUCAGUCCUGGGCAUCUGCCAUUCUCAACUCUGUCACUACUCAAAAUGUAACCACUGGGCCAAGAGCCGCAGCAGCCAUGGGCAGCUGUUUAGAAAUGCUUUCCCACCUGGAUUAUUAAACCCAGUCAUUCUUUCUGCCAAAAGUAAAGCUCCCCAUGCUGUUUUUGCAUGGAAUACAUGGAUAAUGUUUAGGGGUCAAUGUGAAAGUCUAUAGAGUGAAAAAGAAUUUAGGAUUGCAUACUGCUUAAGACCUGCAAUUCAUUGCUGCAUGAAAACACAUAAACCUGUGGGGACAAAAAUAAUUAAAGGUAUAAAUGUAAUAUACAAAAGAGGACUGAUCUUAAUUAAGUCAUUAUCUCAUGGCCUCUCAUUACUUCAUGGCCUAGCAUUUCUGUCCAUGCUUAUCUAUGAUGGAUAAGGACUUAAAUAAAAUCUAUUUCAGCCUGAAAAAGGAAAUAAAGGCCAGGUCCUGUCCCAGACUUAAUGAAUCAGACUCUGCAAGUCAGCAAGAUCGCCCAGACAGGGUUUAGGUUUAAGUCUGAGAAGGGCUCCUGUGGGUGACGGCAACCUCAGGGGUGUUUUUAUUGCUCUAUUGUGUCAGGUUCCAGGGUUCAGGUCACUAUCAAAAACAGACACAAAGAUGAAAUCUUUCUCAUGCGUCUAUGCAGAGUUUUUGAAAUGACACAGAUAAGGGUGGAAAGUGAUCUGGGAAUGACCCAAGGCGUCGCCAGGGUACACA